rnacentral:rRNA from 1 species
GACGAACGCUGGCGGCGUGCCUAAUACAUGCAAGUAGAACGCGCAGUUUAUACCGUAGCUUGCUACACCAUAAACUGUGAGUUGCGAACGGGUGAGUAACGCGUAGGUAACCUGCCUGGUAGCGGGGGAUAACUAUUGGAAACGAUAGCUAAUACCGCAUAAUAUUGAUUAUUGCAUGAUAAUUGAUUGAAAGAUGCUAUUGCAUCACUACCAGAUGGACCUGCGUUGUAUUAGCUAGUAGGUGAGGUAACGGCUCACCUAGGCGACGAUACAUAGCCGACCUGAGAGGGUGAUCUGCCACACUGGGACUGAGACACGGCCCAGACUCCUACGGGAGGCAGCAGUAGGGAAUCUUCGGCAAUGGACGAAAGUCUGACCGAGCAACGCCGCGUGAGUGAAGAAGGUUUUCGGAUCGUAAAGCUCUGUUGUAAGAGAAGAACGGGUGUGAGAGUGGAAAGUUCACACUGUGACGGUAUCUUACCAGAAAGGGACGGCUAACUACGUG